rnacentral:rRNA from 1 species
CGUUCCUACGGGACGCAGCAGUAGGGAAUUUUCGUCAAUGGGCGCAAGCCUGAACGAGCAAUGCCGCGUGAACGAGGAAGGUCUUCGGAUCGUAAAGUUCUGUUGAAGGGGAAAAAGAGAGGAGAGAGGAAAUGGUCUCCGAUUGAUAGUACACUUCGAGGAAGUCACGGCUAACUACGUGACAGCAGCCGCGGUAAUACGUAGGUGGCAAGCGUUGUCCGGAGUUAUUGGGCGUAAAGCGAGUGCAGGCGG